rnacentral:rRNA from 1 species
UACGGGGGGGGCGAGCGUUGUUCGGAAUCACUGGGCGUAAAGGGCGCGUAGGCGGCCCGCACAAGUCUGCGGUGAAAACCCCCGGCUUAACCGGGGGCCGGCCGUGGAAACUGUCGGGCUAGAGGCCGGGAGAGGGCAGCGGAAUUCCCGGUGUAGCGGUGAAAUGCGUAGAGAUCGGGGAGGAACACCGGCGGCGAAGGCGGCUGCCUGGACCGGCCCUGACGCUGAGGCGCGAAAGCUAGGGGAGCAAACAGG